rnacentral:rRNA from 1 species
AACGAACGCUGGCGGCAGGCUUAACACAUGCAAGUCGAACGGCUGUAGCAAUACAGCAGUGGCAGACGGGUGAGUAACACGUGGGAACCUUCCUAGGGGGUACGGAACAACUCAGGGAAACUUGAGCUAAUACCGUAUACGUCCGUAAGGAGAAAGAUUCAUCGCCCCUAGACGGGCCCGCGUCGGAUUAGGUAGUUGGUGGGGUAACGGCCUACCAAGCCUACGAUCCGUAGCUGAUCUGAGAGGAUGAUCAGCCACACUGGGACUGAGACACGGCCCAGACUCCUACGGGAGGCAGCAGUGGGGAAUCUUGGACAAUGGGCGCAAGCCUGAUCCAGCCAUGCCGCGUGAGUGAAGAAGGCCUUAGGGUUGUAAAGCUCUUUUACCAGGGACGAUAAUGACGGUACCUGGAGAAUAA